rnacentral:misc_RNA from 1 species
AAAGUCGUAACAAGGUCUCCGUAGGUGAACCUGCGGAGGGAUCAUCAAAGAAUUUUCAAAAAGGUGGCCUCUUUCUCGAAAGAGAACAGAGGUUACUUUCAAACAAACGAUCACAACUAUCUAUUGAAAAAUGAGAGAUUGGAUUGGGAAGAGAAAAAGUGUUUGCCUGAUAAUUUGAUUGGAAAAAGAAAAAUACAACUUUCAACAACGGAUCUCUUGGCUCUC